rnacentral:rRNA from 1 species
GACGAACGCUGGCGGCAUGCCUAAUACAUGCAAGUCGAGCGAACAGAUGAAGUGCUUGCACUUCUGACGUUAGCGGCGAACGGGUGAGUAACACGUAAGGAAUCUACCUAUAAGCGGGGGAUAACAUUCGGAAACGGGUGCUAAUACCGCAUAAUAUCUUCUUCCGCAUGGAAGAAGAUUGAAAGACGGCUCUGCUGUCACUUAUAGAUGACCUUGCGGUGCAUUAGUUAGUUGGUGGGGUAACGGCCUGCCAAGACGAUGAUGCAUAGCCGACCUGAGAGGGUGAUCGGCAACAUUGGGACUGAGACACGGCCCAAACUCCUACGGGAGGCAGCAGUAGGGAAUCUUCCGCAAUGGGCGAAAGCCUGACGGAGCAAUGCCGCGUGAGUGAAGAAGGCCUUCGGGUCGUAAAACUCUGUUAUAAGAGAAGAACAAAUUGUAGAGUAACUGCUACAGUCUUGACGGUAUCUUAUCAGAAAGCCACGGCUAACUACGUGCCAGCAGCCGCAGUAA